rnacentral:misc_RNA from 1 species
AAAAAAAAAAAAAAAGCCCUGGGGAAAUACAUUCUUCAUCAAAUUUACAAGUCCUUUAGUUCAGUUGUUCCUCAUGAAUAACUCUUCCACGUAUUGGCAUUCUUCAAUUGACAAAAGAAAAGAGGAAUGCGACUGAGACAUGCAGAUUUUCCAAGAAAAGAUGGAAAAUGAGAAAAGUAUCAAUAUCAAGAGCUAUGAAACCAUCAAAUUGUCCAAGAGAUAAGGAACUGAAUUUCCACAAGGUAGAGUUAUGUCACAUUCCCCUCACUUCACUAGAAUUAGAUCAUUUAAUUUGAACAAGUCACAGUGUCAGAAUAGUUAAGAGAAAUUAGGGUAGAGGAACAACCAGCAGAUCUUUAGCACCACUAAUAUCCUAUUAUAAAAGAAAAGGACUAAGUGUUACUCCCAGUUCUAACAUUCUUCUUAAAAUAGAAAACCAUGGCAUAUUGCUGGCUAUAAAAAAUAUAUCAGACCAUAUAUCACAAUCUACGUGAAAACACAAAAGAUAAGAACGCCACAGUGAGCCACCUUAGGUUGAAAUAGGAAGGGGGAAAAUUGAAAUUUAUUUGGGUAUUGCAAGCCAUGCACAUUAAACCUGUACUGUACGGGAUUUUAAAUGACAAUUUACAAGUCAUUUGCUAAAUAUCCCAACUUAAUCAACUGGAACUCAGCUCAGACAAACUGGAGCAACAAAUAACUAAAAGGCAAAUAAGUGAGAACUUAUAUUGAGGGGGGAAAACACUAAGAAAUUCAAAAGGUUAAAGGUUUGCUGCAUCAAAAUUAGCACAAAUUUUUAAAAAGAAACCAAAAAUUCAAUCAAUCUUGCAUUGAAGGAAACCUAGAAGAUGUGAUGAAAUAAAAACUUAGAAGCUGAAGUUAAGAAAUUAUCAAAGGGAUGCUGAGUUGCUGACCACUUAAGGUAAUGCAAAUCCUUGUAACUUAUGGAUAUUUAAAACCUCAACAAGGACAGAAAAUGAUUAGUUUUUUGAUCUUUCUAAUUAACUCUGUAACUUAAUUUUAU